CAGGCGUCACUCAGGAUACUUUCUUUACAGCCUCUCCUGGAUGGUGGGGAAAUUGAUGACACAAUUCUGCUCAGACACAGAAAAAAACUUCCAAGUUUCCCAAAGUGGAGAAAAGAAAAAGUGGGAGAAAAACAGAGAAAGAUGGGAGAAAAGUUCCAGACAGAUGACUAGCUGCUGAGGCUCCAAUGUAUUUUUUGGUAAAAAGUUUGCCAACCUCUGUGUUGAGGGAAACCCUUGGAGAUACUGCCAUUUUCUGUGAAGGAUUACAUCAUGAAAACACAUUCAGUAUAUUUAUUGGAGGUUUCAUUAUGGCUGCUAAAAAUCUCUGAUUUCUGGUUGCGUGAGUUUCCUAACUGGAUUCUUAAACUACUCAGCUGCUCAGACACAGACUCUGGGCAGGCAGGAAAUAAUUACAAGAGCUUGUGUAUAGAAUGCACAACACAGUUCUUCAAUGAUGAGGAAAAUGCCAUGGAAGUUCUCUUGGAUUGGUUCUGUAUUCAGUUCUGCUUGUCAUUUUCUAACUUGAGUAAGCAGCAAGUAUGGGAAUACUCUACUUCUAAAGCGACGUUGGGGUAAGUAUUGCCAAAUCCCGA